GUGAAUCAUCAAAUCUUUGAACGCAAAUUGCACUCUCUUCGGAGAGUAUGACUGUUUGAGGGUCAGUAUUAAUAAAAUUCGGUGUGUUGCUUCUUUGUGACGCUCCGCAGUUUGGGUCAUCUUAAUAUCCUUUAGGUUUUAAGUGGCUUAAAGUUGACUUUUUUUGCAAUUUUUAGAUGUACUGGAAUUCUUUUUUUUAUUCGUCUGCAUUAAUGCUCAAACUCCUAUUUGAUGCGACCAUUGCGUGUGAUUUAGUGUCUAUA
rnacentral:misc_RNA from 1 species